rnacentral:rRNA from 1 species
UACGAAGGGGACUAGCGUUGUUCGGAAUUACUGGGCGUAAAGCGCACGUAGGCGGAUUUGUUAGUCUGGGGUGAAAUCCCGGGGCUCAACCUCGGAACUGCCUUUGAUACUGCAAAUCUCGAGUCCGAUAGAGGUGGGUGGAAUUCCUAGUGUAGAGGUGAAAUUCGUAGAUAUUAGGAAGAACACCGGUGGCGAAGGCGGCCCACUGGAUCGGUACUGACGCUGAGGUGCGAAAGCGUGGGGAGCAAACAGG